rnacentral:rRNA from 1 species
UACGUAGGGGGCAAGCGUUGUCCGGAAUUAUUGGGCGUAAAGAGCGUGUAGGCGGUCCGGUAAGUCAGCUGUGAAAGUCAAGGGCUCAACCCUUGAAAGCCGGUUGAUACUGUCGGGCUAGAGUCCGGAAGAGGCGAGUGGAAUUCCCGGUGUAGCGGUGAAAUGCGCAGAUAUCGGGAGGAACACCGGUGGCGAAGGCGGCCCCCUGGGCUGGUACUGACGCUGAUGCGCGAAAGCGUGGGUAGCAAACGGG